UGCUGGAGGUAUCAGAAGUGCGAAUGCUGACAUAAGUAACGAUAAAGCGGGUGAAAAGCCCGCUCGCCGGAAGACCAAGGGUUCCUGUCCAACGUUAAUCGGGGCAGGGUGAGUCGACCCCUAAGGCGAGGCCGAAAGGCGUAGUCGAUGGGAAACGGGUUAAUAUUCCCGUACUUGGUGUUACUGCGAAGGGGGGACGGAGAAGGCUAUGUUGGCCGGGCGACGGUUGUCCCGGUUUAAGCGUGUAGGUGUGUGUUCCAGGUAAAUCCGGUUCACUUUAACACUGAGGCGUGACGACGAGGCACUACGGUGCUGAAGCAACAAAUGCCCUGCUUCCAGGAAAAGCCUCUAAGCAUCAGGUAACAUCAAAUCGUACCCCAAACCGACACAGGUGGUCAGGUAGAGAAUACCAAGGCGCUUGAGAGAACUCGGGUGAAGGAACUAGGCAAAAUGGUGCCGUAACUUCGGGAGAAGGCACGCUGACACGUAGGUGAAGUGAUUUACUCAUGGAGCUGAAGUCAGUCGAAGAUACCAGCUGGCUGCAACUGUUUAUUAAAAACACAGCACUGUGCAAACACGAAAGUGGACGUAUACGGUGUGACGCCUGCCCGGUGCCGGAAGGUUAAUUGAUGGGGUCAGCGCAAGCGAAGCUCCUGAUCGAAGCCCCGGUAAACGGCGGCCGUAACUAUAACGGUCCUAAGGUAGCGAAAUUCCUUGUCGGGUAAGUUCCGACCUGCACGAAUGGCGUAAUGAUGGCCAGGCUGUCUCCACCCGAGACUCAGUGAAAUUGAACUCGCUGUGAAGAUGCAGUGUACCCGCGGCAAGACGGAAAGACCCCGUGAACCUUUACUAUAGCUUGACACUGAACAUUGAGCCUUGAUGUGUAGGAUAGGUGGGAGGCUUUGAAGUGUGGACGCCAGUCUGCAUGGAGCCGACCUUGAAAUACCACCCUUUAAUGUUUGAUGUUCUAACGUGG
rnacentral:rRNA from 1 species